rnacentral:rRNA from 1 species
AUUGAACGCUGGCGGCAUGCCUUACACAUGCAAGUCGAACGGCAGCGCGGGGCAACCUGGCGGCGAGUGGCGAACGGGUGAGUAAUAUAUCGGAACAUACCCUAGAGUGGGGAUAACGUAGCGAAAGUUACGCUAAUACCGCAUACGCACUAAGGUGGAAAGUGGGGGAUUCGCAAGAACCUCAUGCUCAUGGAGUGGCCGAUAUCUGAUUAGCUAGUUGGUGAGGUAAAGGCUCACCAAGGCGACGAUCAGUAGCUGGUUUGAGAGAACGACCAGCCACACUGGAACUGAGACACGGUCCAGACUCCUACGGGAGGCAGCAGUGGGGAAUAUUGGACAAUGGGGGGCAACCCUGAUCCAGCAAUGCCGCGUGAGUGAUGAAGGCC